UAUAUAUAUAUAUAUAUAUAUAUAUAUAUAAAAGGAAAGGCAUGAAUGUUACAAUUAAAAAUUAAAUGUUAAGUAUAAGGUAUGGAUGAUGCACUUAAAAGAAGAAGCGGGGAAACAAAAAAUGAAAGUUUACAUACAACACAACGGCCAGAGUAGUGUAAAAGAAAGAAUGGUAUGAAAGGUUAAGCAUAAAAUAUGGAUGACACUGGCUACUGGUGAAAUACUAAGUAAAGUAUUAAUAAGAAUAUGAAAAGUCAAGUAAAAGGUAUGGAUAACAGUAGAUAGAAGAAUAUGAAAAAACAUGUGAAAGGUAUGGAUAACAGUGGAUAUAAGAUUAUGAAAAGUCGAGUGAAAGGUAUGGAUAGCAGUGGAUAGAGUAAGGAAAAAGGAGAAAACGAAAGGUUAGUGAAAAGUACGGAAUACACAUUGGGUAGAAUAAGUAAGUAAAAGGGGUAAAAGGUAACAUAAUGUAUGAGAAAAUGAAAGGUUGGUUGAGAGAUAGGAUGAAACACUGGGUAUAGCAAGUAAUUAUUAAGUAAAUUAAAAGUUACAUUAAAAGUGUACAUAUCAUGCUAGGCAAAGUAAGGCAAAAUGAAAGCUUCAGUAAAAGGUAUGGUUGAUACAGCGAGUAGAGUAAUGUAAAAAAAAAGGAAAAAAGUUAAAUAAGAGGUUUGAAUCAAACACAGGGAAGAGUAAUGUAAAAAUGAGAUGGUGAAAAGCUACAUGGAUAUCAUGAAUAGAGUAAAGUAAAUGAAAAUGGAAAGUUGAAUGAAAGGUUUCAAUAUCAUAUAGGGUAUAACAAAGUAAAGAUAAAAGAAUGUGAAUGUUAAGUGAAAGUUUUGAAUGAUGAUUUGGGUAGAAUAUGGUAUAAAUAAGGAAAUUAAAGGUUAAGGUGAAGGUACCGAUGAUACAGAAGGGAAAUUAAUGUAAAAAUAAGAAUAUGGAAGGUCAGGUGACAGGUGUAGAUGACAACCAGGAUAGAGUGAUGUAAAAUUAAGAUAAAUGAAAGGUAUAGGUGAAGUGCAGGUUAAAAGAUAUACAUAAAAAGAUGAAAGGUUGAGUGACAGAAUGAGGUACUGAAUAAAGGAAAGAGAAAAGAAAAUGAAAAGUCAAUUGCAAGGUGUGUGUGACAGUAAUGCAAAAAAAAGUUAUGGUUGACACACUAAGUAGAAUGAAAGGUGUGUGGCUGACAUAGUGGUUGAAUAAAUGGAGAACUUAGAGAAUUAAAGGUUAAGUGAAAAGUACGGAUGAUAAACUAGGUAGAAUAAUGGGGAAGAAAACUACUGGUGACAUAUAGAGUAAAGUAAAAAUGAAUAUAUGAAAGGUCAAGUAAAAUGUAUGAAUGUCAGUGGAAAGAGUAAGGAAAAAUAUGAAAUGGAAGCUUUACUGCAAGGUCUAGAUAAAAAAAGGAAAAGGCUUUGUGAAAGGUAUGGACGAAAAUGAAAAGUUUACUGAAAGGUCUGGAUAAAAAGGAAAGGCUUAGUGAAAGGUAUGGAUGAAAAUGAAAAGUUUAGUGAAAGGUCUGGAUAAGAAGAAAACAUAAAAGUAAUAUGGGAGGUUAAGCACGGGGGAUGGAUAACACUGGGUAGAAUAAGGGAAAUUUCAGCAAAUGAUCAAAUGAAAGGAAUUGCUGACACACUGGUUAAAGAAACGAGAAAUUACGAAAAUCAAAGGUUGAUUGAAAGGAACUGAAGACAAACUAGACAAAAUAAAUGAAAAAGAGAAAAAAAGAAAAAAAAAGAAAAAAGGUAUUGGUGACAUACUGAAUACAGCAAAAAUAAAAAAUAUGAAAGGUCAAGUGAAAGGUAUGGAUAACAGUGGGUAGAGUGAGAAAAGAAUGAAAGUGAAAGGUGAUUGAAAGGCACUGAUGAAUACACAGUUGGUAGAAUAAGGAAACAGAAGACUGAUAUACUAGACAGUAUAAGAGGAAGAGUGAAAGCUAUGGAUAAUACACUCGGCAAAAUAAGAAAAAGAAACAAAAUGAAAGGGUGAAGGUGUAAAAGGUAGAAUAAUGUAUAAAUGAGAAAAUGAUAAGUUGGGUGAAAGGUAGGGAUGAAACACUGGGUAAAACAAUUCAAUAAGAUAAUGAAAAGUGAAACUAAAUGUUUACAUGGCAGAGUAAGACAAAAUGAAAGCUUAAAUGAAAGGUAUGUUUGACUCAGCGAGUAGAGUAAAAAUGAAUAAAUAAAAUUAAAGGUUUGAAUGAAACACUAAGAAGAGUAAUGUAAAAAUGAGAUGGUAAAAAGCUACAUGGCAGAAUAUAUGAAAACGAAAGUAUGAGUGAAAGGUACUGAUGACACAAUAUAUGGUCAUGUAAAAUUAUAAAAAAAAAAUAAGGUAUGAAAAAAAAAGGUAUGAAUAACACAGGAUAUAAAAUAAAAACAAGAGAAUGAAUGAUUAAAUGAAAGGCAUGCGUGAUACUGAUGACACUGGCCAGAGUAAGAAAAAAAAAGUUAAGGUAUGGGUGAAACAUUAGCUAGAGCAAGGUAUAAAUAAGAAAAUGAAAGGUUAAGUGAAUGUUUUUAAAGGUACACUGGUAUGAAUGAGAAAACGAAAGCAUAGGUGAAAGGUAUCAAUAAUAUACAGGGUAUAACAAAGUAAAGAUUAGAGAAUAAAUGUUAAGUGAAAGUUUUAAAUGAUAAUGUGGGUAGAAUAUAGUAUAAAUAAGGAAAUAAAGGGUUAAGGUGAAUGUGGGGAUGAUACGGAAGGGAAAUCAAUGUAAAAAUAAGGCAGGAUGAAGAGAAUGAAUGUUAAGUGAAAGUUUUAAAUGAUACACUGGGUAGAAUAUAUUAUGAAAAAGGAAAUCAAAGGUUAAGGUGAAGGUACCGAUGAUGCAGAAGGGAAAUCAAUUUGAAAAUAAGAUGAAAGGUCAAGUGACAGGUGUGGAUGACAAGCUGGAUAGAUUGACGUAAAAUUAGGAUAACGAUAGGUUAAACGAAAGGUAAAGGUAAAGUACAGGUUACAAGAUAUAUAAAGAAAAUGAAAGGUUACGUUAAAGGAUGACGUUGAAUAGAGAAAGGGUAAAAGAGAAAAUGAAAGGUUAAUUGCAAAGUGACGACACUGGUCAGGGUAAUGUAAAAAAAGAAAAAGAAAAAAAAAAAGUAUGGAUGACACUAGAUAGAGAAAGGUUAAAAUUAACAAAUGAAUGGUCAAAUGAGAGGUGUGGCUGAUAUACUGAUGAAAUAAAUGUUAAACUGCACGGAUGAUAAACUAGACAGAGUAAAGAAGAAAGUAAAAAUGAGAAUAUGGAAGGACAAGUGAUGGCAGUGGAUAGAGUAAGGAAAUAUAAGUAAUGGAAGGAUUAGUGAAAGGUAUGGAUGAAAAUGAAAGGACAUACUGGGAGGAAUGGAGAAAAAAGGGUGAAAGGAAGAGUGAUAGAUUCGGUAGAAUAAGGAAAAAGUACAUUGGAAGGGUGAAAGGUAGAAUAAUAUAAAGAUAAGUGAAAGUUCUAGACGAUACACUGGGCAGACUAAGCCACUGUACGGAAAUGAAAGUAUUAAUGGAAAGUAACGUAAAAUAAGAAAAAAAAUGAUUGGUUAAAUGAAAGGUAUGGAUGAAACAAAUGAAUGGUAUUAAUAAGAAAAUGAGAAGUUAAACUAAACACUAACAUGUCUUGCUAGACAGAGUAAGGCAAAAAUGAAAGCUUAAAUGAAAGGUAUGAUUGACAGAGUGAGUAGGAUAAUGUAGAAAUGAAAAAAAAAGUUAAGUAAAAGGUUUGAAUGAAAGACUAGGGAGAGUAAUGUAAACAUGACAUGGUAAAAGGGUACAUGGAAGGCAUAAGUGACACUCUGGACAGAGUAAGGCAAAUAAAGGAAAACGAUAGGCUAAGUGAAAAGUAUUCAUGACAAAGUGUGUAGAGUCAUGUGAGAUUAAUACAAAAUAUGAACAACAUACAGGAUAGAGCAAAUUAGAAAUAAGAAAAUUAAAGAUUGAAUGAAAGGUAUGAAUGAAUUGGAUGACACACUGAACAGAGUAAGAAAAGCAGGGUAAAGGUAUAGUUGUAAACACGAGCUAGAGUAAGGUAUACUUAAAAAAAUAACAAAUUGACAAAUUAGAUAGAGUAAAGAAAGAAAGAAUGAAAGAAAGAUAGAUAGAAAUAAAUAAAUAAAGAAAAGCUACUGAGUAAAGUAAAAAUGAGAAUUUGAAAGGUCUAGUGAAAAGUCUGGGUGAGAGUGUAUAGAGUAAGGAAAAAUAAAAAAAUGGAAGGUUUUGUGAAAGGUAUGGAUGAAAAUGAAAGGUUGACAUACUGGACAGGAUAAAGAAAACGGUGAAAGGUAUGCGUGAUAGACUGGGUAGAAUAAGGAAAAAGAAAAUGGGAGAGGUGAAAGGUAAAAACAACAAAAUUAAAUAAGUGAAAGGUAGGGAGGAAACACUGGGUAAAAUAAAGAAUAAAAAAAGGUUAAAUCAAAAUGUGCGUGUUAUGUUAGGAAGAGUAAGGAAAAUGAAAAGUUAAAUGAAAUGUAUGAUUGAUACACUGAGCAGGGUAAUGUAAAAAACGAAAGAAAAGUAAAAUAAAAUAUAUGGAUAAAACUCUAGGAAGAAUAAUGUAAAAAUAAGAUGAAAGGUUACAUGAAAAGCACGGAUGAUAUUGAGGAAACGAAAGGUGAAUUCAAAAGUAUCAAUAAUGUACUGGGUAGAGUUAAUGAAAAGGCUAAGUGGAAGGUAUGGAUGACAAAGUGGAUAAAGUAACGUAAAAUAAGUAAAAUGAGAAGUUAAAUGAAAGGUGUGGAUGGAAUAAAGGGUAAUGAAAGGUAUUGAUAAGAAAAUGAGAGAUUAGGUAAAGGAAUGAAUAUAGCAAUUAGCAGAAUGCGAUAAAAAAAAAAAAACACUUGUGGUCGACACACUGGCUAGAGUAAUGUAAAAACAAAAUGGUAUAGAAGGUUAAGUAAAAGUUAUAGCUAACACACUGGGUAGCGUAAAGUAAAAAACAAAUAAAAAAAAAUAA